rnacentral:rRNA from 1 species
AUCCUACGGGACGCAGCAGUGAGGAAUAUUGGUCAAUGGCCGAGAGGCUGAACCAGCCAAGCCGCGUGAGGGAUGACGGCCCUACGGGUUGUAAACCUCUUUUGUCGGGGAGCAAGACCCGCCUCGUGCAGGCGGAGCGAGAGUACCCGAAGAAAAAGCAUCGGCUAACUCCGUGCCAGCAGCCGCGGUAAUACGGAGGAUGCGAGCGUUAUCCGGAUUUAUUGGGUUUAAAGGGGGCGCAGGCGGGAGAUCAAGGUAGCGGUAAAAUGUCGGGGCUCAACCCC